UUGCUUGCUAAUGUGCGUGUGUGGAUGUUGCUGGUUGCUGCUGCUGUGCACGUGUGCUUGGUGUGCCCCUGCUGUUUUGUGUUCUCACCACCACAUCCACGACAAAUAAAAUUUCUCCCCGCCUCUCUCCCAACUCACGAGCAGUCUUAUCGAGGCAACGCGACACCGACCAGCCGGCCACAGACGGUGGCAGUGUUCAUCCCUGAAUGUCAAGUUGGCGCGGGUGUACAGCGGAGGUAUAUAUGUGAUAAGGUGAUGUGAUCAUUAGAAAAACCAGAGAAGGGAGAGAUGUGUGGGAGCUCGAGGGCGAGAGGAAGACGGAGACGGCACGGGGCAGCGUCCUGCAGGUGGGGAGAGCUGGAGGCACGCUGGCCCAGGCAUGGUCAACACGAGGCGAUCGAGCUGCUCUGCUCGUUACUGAAGAACAGAGGCAGCAGCAGGUUCGUGGCGAUGUAACGGCGACACAAG